rnacentral:rRNA from 1 species
GACGAACGCUGGCGGCGUGCUUAACACAUGCAAGUCGAACGGAAAGGCCCUGCUUUUGUGGGGUGCUCGAGUGGCGAACGGGUGAGUAACACGUGAGUAACCUGCCCUUGACUUUGGGAUAACUUCAGGAAACUGGGGCUAAUACCGGAUAGGAGCUCCUGCUGCAUGGUGGGGGUUGGAAAGUUUCGGCGGUUGGGGAUGGACUCGCGGCUUAUCAGCUUGUUGGUGGGGAAGUGGCUUACCAAGGCUUUGACGGGUAGCCGGCCUGAGAGGGUGACCGGCCACAUUGGGACUGAGAUACGGCCCAGACUCCUACGGGAGGCAGCAGUGGGGAAUAUGGCACAAUGGGCGGAAGCCUGAUGCAGCAACGCCGCGUGCGGGAUGACGGCCUUCGGGUUGUAAACCGCUUUCGCCUGUGACGAAGCGUGAGUGACGGUAAUGGGUAAAGAAGCACCGGCUAACUACGU